CAGCUGGUUAAGCAGUGACGUCCGUCUCCCCAGCAACAUUUUCCAUGCUCUUCCCGGGGGACCCCGAGGCGUUCCCAAGCCAGACGAGACAUAUAAUCUCUCCAGCGUGUUCUGGGUCUACCCCGGGGCCUCUCACCAGUUGGACUUGCCCGGAAAACCUCCAAAGGGAGGCGUCCGGGAGGCAUCCCGAUCAGAUGCCUGAACCACUUCAUCUGGCCCCUUACGACGCGAAGGAGCAGCGGCUCUAGUUCGAGCUCCCUCCGGAUGUCUGAGCUCCUCACCCUAUCUCUAAGG